UAUAUAAAAAUGAAAGCGGUGCGCGGCAGUAUCCACCUGCUCUAGCACUGUUUAAGCUCCAGACAAAAAAGACUGAGGUCAUGUUUCUUUUCCUCCAGUGCCCCUUACUGAGGAAACUCCAAGCAAUUUCUCUGCCUCCUUUGGACUCAUCCAACUCAUCCAAGUGUGUGCUCUGUUAUUUACAUGUAGUUUCUAGCCCGGGAGAGCUCUGAGAGUAAGAACACAGGAACUCAUCUGAGGUAUCCUUUCUAGUCUGAGCACCAAGCUCAGUCACUGGGAUACGGCAGAGAAUGGACAAUUCGCACCGAGUAAGUGUCAGGCUCCGCGUGUGGCCCUUCACAUCCAUUAUCUUCUGCAAUCUCACCAUUAAGGAAUGAUUCUCAAGGAUCCUCACGAAAAACCCACAUUCAGAGCAGGCAGAUGAAUUUGCUGGUUAAGCCCAGAAACAAGAUUCGAACCAAAUCUGAAGAGAACACGUCUGAAUCCAG